UUGUCACAGACCCUGCUAAAGA
rnacentral:miRNA from 1 species